rnacentral:lncRNA from 1 species
GGUGGGUAGUCUGCAGAUGUGGGGCUGUCCCGAGGUUAAGAAGAACAUCUUUCCUUGCCCUAUUUCUGAUUAUAAUUUAAUUGUAAUCUAAUUAUAAAUAGCAUGCAUUGUGAUUCGGAUGUGAAAAGUAGACUAUUCGGGUAACUAAUUAACCGAAUUAGACUUGAAAAAAACAUAUUAGUUUUAGUUAGAAUUUGAUAUACUAUUUUAACUUCAUUUUUCGGUUAUUAACCAAAUAUAAUUCACUUAUUCGAGUUUCGAUUAUUAAGUUAGUAAUAUUUCGAUUAAUAUAUUUGUUCGGAUAUUAAAAUUGUAUAAAAUUUGUUAUUCAAUUAUAUCAGUAGACAAUUCAGUACGAUUGGAUUAUAAUCUGUGGGCACUAAAAUCGUACCUUGCUAGGGUUAGGGUUUCGUAUUGGCUGAUGAGGAGAGAAAUCCACAAAGAGUACGGAAUUGAUUGGUUGAUUGAAGAGGGGAGAACGACAGGUGGGCGGUUACUCCAACGACGCGUGACAGAACUCCUAGAAUCCGGGAACCGUGUUAGGGUAAUAAUGAUUCCAAAAGCCUUCUUAAGUCCUUCGAGUUGAGAGAAUGUCCAAACCCCUUUAGUGCUUUUAGGUGGAAUCUCCAAGCCUUUAAGUCACCAAAAAGGUCCCUUUGAUCCUCCAAGUGUCCAAGUCUUGAGUCUGAAGAGGAGUCCCUUUCCAAAUGGAAUGGAAGGGGUAUUUAUAGGGUUUUCUGGAAAGUAGUCAUGUGCAAGGCACAUGCCUUCAGGAAAAUUCCAGAAAUACCCUUUAGUCCUUAGAGUAAUGCCCAUAUUGCCCUGUCCUUCUAGCCACCAAUCCGAUCCCUCAAUCAAUUCCCAAAACGAGCCGCCUCCACGAGUCUUCUGCCUCGGGACACGUGGAGGCUUUUCGCAGGUCUCGCCCAUUUACUUCUGACUUUUUCGUCUUUAUUUCAUUAGGUUAUGCAAACCCUAAUUUGCACCUUUAAUGAAGCCGUGGAAACCUAAUUGCGCAUUCAAUUCAAUUAGGUCAUGUGAACCCUAAUUUUACACUUGGGCCCACAUUUGCCCCCUGCACGAGAGUCGCAUUAACGAUCGUGCAAGAAAACUGCAAGUCUUUGAACGAUUUUGCGGGACUUCACUCUACAGGUCUUGAAGACAAUGGUCCUAGAAGAGGGAACUCCUAGAGAGCCAGACCCUUAGAGUUAAACCCUAGGAAGGCAAGACCUAGUGAGGCUCUUCUUUGGACAUCCUUAAAAAAAUCUUCUGAAAUUUUUUCUGAACCUUGCCCAAUAUUUAUUUCCUUUGUAGACCUAAUAUACUUCAAGGAUGAGUUUAGCUGAAGCUCCAGAUGCUCAAGGUUUUUUAUAUUUAGCGGCCCCAGGUCUUCCCCGAGAAAGUGCCUUUGAUAUUGUUGUAGAGACUCAUAUUUGCCUUUUAGUUUUAAGUAUUCCCUGUAUGUGCUUUGCUGCUAGGGACAUGACAACAAGUAAUUCAAGUAAAAAAAAUCAUGAAAACAAAAUGAACAUAAUCCCAGGAAUAAAAUAUUCCUAAUAAAAAAUUAGGAUAUUUGUUUUAAUAAUAAUUUAUUUUGGGAAAUAAAAAAUUAAGAUUUGAUUUUAUUUUAGAAAUAAAAUCUUUCUUUAUUUUGAAAAAAUCAAAUCUUUCAAAUCUUUAUUUUCUUGAAAAGUAAAUAAAAUAUUCCUAUUAUUAAAAAAUAGGAUAUUUGUUUUAAUAAUAAUAAUUUAUUUUGGAAAUAAAAAUUAAGAUUUGAUUUUAUUUUGGAAAUAAAAUAAAAUAAAAUCAAAUCAAAUCUUGAUUUUUAUUUCCAGAAUAAAAUCAAAUCUUAAUUUUAUAAGAUUUGAUUUUAUUUUGAAAAUUAAAUUUUCCUUCAUUUUGGAAAAUCAAAUCAAAUCUUUCUUAAUUUGAAAAGUUUUUAUUUUUUUCGUCAUUCACGCAAAAGAUUCACGCAAAAGAUUUAAGUGCAUGAAUAAAAUAAAAAUGCUUGAAUUUAAGGGUCAUAUAAUCUCACAGAUCUGAUGAAGGGGAAUUGCCACAUGCCUACAACAUUUUCUAUGAAAAAGAUGGUGAAUUAAGGCAAAACGAGAUCCCAUAAUGUAUUUGUCACCUUUUUUUUUUGAAAAUAAAAUAAAUCUUAUUUUAUUAUCUUUUAAAAAAAUAAAUAAAAUAAAAUUCUUAUUUUAUUAUUAUUAUUAUAUUUUUUUUUCUUUUUUUUUAAAAAAAAUAAAAAUAAAUAAAUAAAACAUUUACUUAUCUUAUUUUUUGAGAGGUAAGGAAUCGAUACUCAUAAUCCACAGCCGCCUGUCUUGCUUCUGAAUUGUAGUAGAGAGCUUUGUUACCACCUCACUUGGGCAAUACUUUUUAUUUGCAGUAAUAAAGAACCCAUCAUUUGAAACGCUGUGCUUGAUUAACCGUUGCGCAACAAUAUUACAUCAGUCCCACUUCGGUAAGCAUGCUUUUAAUAUUUCCUUGCAUCAACGAAGGCUGUAAUAAGCAUGCUUUAUUUCCUUGCAAUACAAUUGACACCCUCCUUGCCAAUUCACCUGCUUUACUAAGUCUAUUACAGAAUAAGGUAAUCAUUUGACAGCAUGUCAUGGCUCUACCUUUUGUGAUGUUCAUUUGCAGGGCCCUAUAGGUAGGGAGGUGCCGAACCCUAUGAAUGCAAUAUAUAUAUAUAUAUAUAUAUUUUAUUUAUUUAUUUAUUUUUAUUAUUAUUAAUUUUUUUUUACAUGAUUACCACUUCACUUUUUUUUCUUUCAUAACCCAAUACAUGAACACUUAAUUGGCCAAGUGCAGCGAUUACCUAAUUACACUUGAUUCCCAACACAUUACUUCAUUAGCCAACACAUGAUUACUAUGACCCAUUACGUCACUCUCUCAUUAGCCAACCAAAUUUCCACCCUUUUGCAUCCAAAAUGCUAGAUGGCCUCACUUUAUUUGAGUGCAUCAGGCAUUGAUUGUGACUCUCAAUUCACACUGUGACUGUGACUUUCAAUUCGCACUGUUCACCUGAAGGCAUCACUGUCAUCAUUUUUUUUUUCAACAAAAAGUUCUGCUUCUUGUCUCCAAAAUACUGGCCACGUGCUACUGCUGCUUUAUCUAGGUCGAACCCUUCUUAGUCAUUUUCAAUUUUUUUUUUGACGAACCAUGAAGAAAGAAAAAAAAAAGAAAUGCUUUUUUUUCUUUUGUUUUCCGAGCCCCAUUACCUUGAUUAUACCUCGGUUUUUUCCCUCGGAUAAUAAAGAAAGAUUGGCAUUUUUUUUUCAGCGAAAACCCAAAGAAAGAAAAAAUUCUCUGCAUGCGGCAAAAUUGCUCCAAUUAGCCGAACCCUGGAGGACCGAACACUAGGGGGCCGAACCCUAGGGGGUCGAGCCCUGGGGAAAAUCAAUGUUUAGACUGCAUAACACGAAAUUUUUAGAGGAGUAAUUACUAUUUUGAUCAUCACUUUCGCCUCGCUUGUAGUUUCGAUACCCAUAAUAUAUCAAAACAAAGCUGACGACGAGCCUUACAACAGUCAUCACCUUCAACCAUGAUAGUUAUUGUUAUAAGUCUGAUAAAAAGGAAAACUCUGAAGGCUGCCAUUUGGGCUAUCUUAAUGCAUAUUUGUGAUUCCAAACUUCUUUUGACAUUUUUUUUUCUUUCAGGUGUCUUUGAGGUUAAAUAUCAGACCUCCCUCUUUGCCAUGGUGAGCGCUUCUUUCCCCUUUGACAUCCUUACAUUGUGUCUUUUUUUUUUAGAAUUCUUAUGAUGAACUUUUCUUGCUUGUAGCCCCUUUCACCUGAAUGCUCUGUAGAACCAAAAACCACCCGGGAGUCCCCCUUCAUCACUGAUUGGGGAAGAGCUCCCUUCUUCGGUCCUUCUGACACCUUCUGGGAUAGAGUUAAGGACUAUGACCGUACAACUUUUCGUUCACCAGAGAAAGAAGGCCUAUUUUUGUAUGCCCCAGCUUCUGGAGGUUGGGAUGACUUCCCUCGUGCUAAUUGCAUUCCCCGCCUAUGCAUAGAGAAGAAAGAAUACCCUUUCAGUCCUCUUCACUUCCUAUCUGAUUCAUCUAGUCGCCUUCAAGGAUGGCAGGAUUGGACCGACGAAAUCCUUGGAAAUGCUGAAUACGUGGAAAUACUAAAAAACGCAAGCAUCUUUCGUUGUGUUCAACUGUGUAGAGACCUACGCAUCCACCAUGACCAUAACGCUCUUACCGUGUUGAUCUCACGAUGGUGUUCCUCUACUUGCACAUUCGUCACUGCCUGGGGGGAAUUCACCCCUACUCUAGAGGAUGUCUAUGCCCUCUAUCAGUAAGUUCUCUUCUUUUAUUCCUUUCAUUCAUUCUCAUUUUUUCUGAAACAUAUAUAUUUAUUUUGAAUCUCAUCUUGUAGCCUUCCCGUUGUUGCUUCGAACUCCUGCGGCCCUUCUAACAUGUCCACUAAAGAUAACGAAUGUGUUGCCUACUUGAUGGAAGCCUUCAAGCAAUCUUCCCGCUUCAUCUCCCGCUUCAAGGGCGAUACACUCCUUCCAGACUUCGAGACUUCCAGUCGGCAGAAAAAUUCUUGGUUAUCCUGGGUACGCUACUUCUUCCGUGACUACAAGACCAACCAAUGGGACAGCUCUAUUCAUGACAAAUCUGUCCUUGCCUUUCGUGGAGAGACUUGUCCUUUUCCUCUGGCAGCUUAUCUGGCUAUGUGGCUGUCCCGCUUCAUCUUCCCUGGAUCUCCCAUAGACGGUCCUUCUGCCCGUGUAUUCAGCUUGGCAGCGUUAUUAUCCCGAGGCUCAGAGAUUCCCCUUGCUUCUCUCUUCUUAGGGUCCUUAUAUCGUCGCCUAGACGAAACAAUCCUUGCUAUGAAAGAAUCUGUUGGGAGGUAAUCACUUUCCUAUAUAUAUAUAUAUUAUUUGUCUUUCCAACCGCACUUAUUUUCCUUUAACCUUUUUCUUAUUUUUUUUUUUUUUUAUUCCUUCAGGUAUGAUGUCAAUUGCUUCAUUCCAUGCUCCUUUCUUCAGAUUUUUCUUUUUGAACGCUUUUCGGGCUAUUCCUCUAAGCAGAAGAAGAAGUCUCCUCUUUUUUCAUCACCCAACGUCAUUCCUCGCAUGGCACGUUGGAUUGAUCACCGACUUAGACUCGAUAGUGCGGAUUUGCGGCCUUUUCUUGAUGAUUAUACUUUGUUCACUGCCCGUCCCUAUACCAUUGUUUCAGAGGGUUGCGGCCAUCUACCUCACUUUUACAAGCGCCAAUUUUGUACUUACUCAAGCCUCAACAGAACCAGCUUGAGUGGUUCUGCACUAUCUUGGUUCGUUUUCCUUCGGUCUACAGAGCUUCCUUACUUCCUCGAGAAUAAUAGUUUUGGCACUGUACUGUAUUCUCCUCACCGGGUCAUGAGACAAUUCGGAUAUGACCAGGAACGCCCUUUUGGUCACACCUGCCGAGGAAAUUAUGAGGCUGCUCUUGUCAAUUUCGUCUGUACCUCCCCUUCUUUUACAUGGGCAUUUCCGAGGCUACAAAGUGAUCCUCAUAGAUCCCUUCCUUUUGUAAUACCAGAUAAUUUUUGGAGCGGGCGAUAUACUAUUGGCGAACGUAAUUACUGGCAAAUCAAUCUUAAAAGAUGGGAGGAUGAUACCUUAAUUUGUUCAUUGCCAGUUUCUAUUCCAAAGUGUCUCCAAUGGUGCCGACUGCUAUGUUCUCCUAAGACCCAUAUCCGUCCAACACUUUGGCCAGCCAGUAGCCGAUUGGUUAAGCGCGAGGUCUUGAUGCCUAAGUCUUCUCUUCCUCAUUUAGCAGACAUUCCUCCUCGAGGUGAUCUGAAUACUUUUCCUGUACAAGCUCCCACUACUUCCACGAGUCUUCCACCACGGGCUCCGUUUCAGGUGUCUCCUCCAGCUCCUCCCCAGGGAUCCUUUGAUGCCGAGGCAAUGAGAGUUACUCGUUCUAAGACGAGAGCGGCUAUUAUUACUGAUUCUGAAGUAGCUCCUUCUAUUGCUUCUGCUGUGGUUCCAGUCAGCCAUCUUCCUCCUAUUAGGCUUAUCAUAAAGCCAUUGGCAAAACGCCCUCUUGAUAGUGCUGAUUCUAAUAUGCCGGCAGCUGAGGAUCUAACCAAGAAACGCCGUAGAAAUUUGGUAAUAAUUAUAUUUUUUUUGUACUAUUCUCAUUUUUCUUUCCUCCCUUGUAUUACUACUUUCACAUAUCGUUAAGUAAUUGUUUCCCUUUUUUUUUAGGUUACCGUGGACGAUGAAGAUGAUGAUGAUGAUGACGUUCCUCUUGGGCUUAUGUGUAGUACUGCCAAUGAGGCGGUCGCGGUGGUUUCCACUAGUCAUGAGCCUUCCCAACCUAUACUUGUUGAUAUUGAGUCAUCUACUCCUCGUGAUGAUUGUGUUAGCCUGGAUGCUAAGGAUACCUUAUCCGAUGUGAGCUCGAGUCCUGCUUUGGGUGAUACAGCUAUUUCUUCACACCCUCCUGUGACUGCUCCUCAUGAUGAGUGUGAAGAUGUUGAUGAGGCUCUUACUUCCCCGAGGGGGAAUCCUUCUGAAAUUAUUGGUGAUGCUCAUCCUCCCCAGAAGGAUUCUACCGAGUUUGUGAUUGCUCGGGAGGGCAGUGUUGAUAACAUUCUGGGUGGGUUGAAUAACAUUCCCCUUUCUGUGGCAUCUCCCGACUCCUUUUCCAUUGACUAUAUUGUGAGUAUCCUUCUUUAAUCAACAUGUGAUUUGUCUUGAAUUUCCUUUCUUUCUUUGUUUUUAAUAUAUUGUGUUUUGACAUUUUGUUUUUUCAGAGCGAGAAGAUGAAAGACUUGCCUUUGCCUGUUGAGGCACUCGCUUUAUUUGAUGCUCUCCAUCCAGAUGUUUCCCACUCGCCAUAUAGUGACCUUGGUUAUCCUCCAGGUGACCAAGGUUUCGAGGAAUCCUCAGCUAUACAGCAUCUUUCUACUCCUCCACCCCUUGACUCGACAAAUUAAAUGGUGGCUUCUAAAGUAGCUGCUACCAGAGCUUCCUUUAAUCCAAAUGGGGGUCUUAUUUCUUGGAGGGGUUUCCAGAUAUCAUCUUCUAGUCAGGAAAGUCUGGAGCGUCUCCUAGCUCGGUUCCCGCAGAUACUUGACCGGUUAAUUAUUAAGGAGACUUCCACCCAAACCUUCUUCCUAGAUCAGCUCGCAGGCCUUAUUUGUAGAUUGCACACUCUUUCUUUAUAUUCUUUGCGAGUCGAGGACUUGAAGAAGUUUAAUGAUAAAGUAGACGACCUUACAGCCAUAGGUGUUGACCUGUCUCCGUUUCGUGAUAGAUUGACUCUUCUCAAGUUAAGUUUUGAUCUUAUUUCAUUACGUUCGGAGGUUGUUUUACGUAAGUGUGAAGAUGAAUCCUUUUCAGUGCAGCUUUCUGAACUUGAUGAAGCCGCCAACAAAUUGAAGAUUCAGUCUCAAGAUUUAGAGGGCCGACUUCGGGAGGUAGAGCGCCAACAACGGGACUUAGAGUCAACUACCCAACAAGUUAGGGAAUUGAAAGCUGCAAAUCUUAAGAUUUGAGAUGCUCCCGUUGCUGACUUAGAAGCUUUAGUUGUGCCUCCACUUCAUUUUGAUAUGUCUUGGCCUUUAGAUCAUAACUUGUUGUAGUUUUUUUUUCGAUUUCCUGUUUCAGAAACUCAUUUACACAUGUUUCAUUUAUCAAAAUGUAGUUUCUUCAACCUUGUUGAUUGCUUUUAAUUUGAAUGAUUCCUUAAAAUUCAAUAUUUAUCAUUGAAUCUCAAGUUAUUCAAAUUAAUAUUACAAGACAACCACAAGUAAAUAUGAAUUUUAUCAAAAACAUGUAUAUAUAGUUUUCACAAACCAAAACUUGACUUUAUACUUUUUUUUUUUAAGAAAUUUAAAAAUAACAUUCAAGUAUAAGUGAAAGUUUGUAAAUUUAUUGAUAAUAAAAUUGCUUUUAACGAAAAGCAUAACGUUUCAUUAGUAAAUCUUGCUUUUGUCGAAGAAAGCAUAACGAUUGCCACUUUUAGAGGUAAAGUGUAACUUUCUUGCUUUUGUCGAAUAAAGCAUAACGUUUGCCACUUUUAAAGAUAAAGUGUAACUUUCGGGGUUGAGGGCUUAUACUCAGGUGCCUCAGUCACUUUUGAAGUUGAAAGUGUAACUGUCGAGGGCUGUUAAUCAGGUUCCUCGAUCACUUUUGAAGUUUGAAAGUGUAACUUCCAAGGGCUGUACUUAGUCAGGUGCCUCGAUUACUUUUGAAGUUGAAAGUAUAACUUUUUGUGAUGCUCUUCUCAUGUGUAAUAUUUCUUUACCCACUUCAAGUUCAAUGGGCCUGAGACAGCAUCUGAUCCCACACGAGAUAUCUUGCAAUACCCGCUUUCGGAGAUCUCUCGUACCCUAUACGGGCCUUCCCAUUUGGGGUAAAAUUUGGUGGUUGGGGUCCCCCUCAUGACUUGAGUUGCCGUUUUGAGUACCAGGUCCCCCACCAGAAUUCGUCGUGGUACUACUGCGGUAUUGUAUUGUCGUCGCAGUCUUUCAUGGUACCGUUCAAGCUUUUCUUUAGCCUUAUCUCGAAAGUCAACUAAGGCCUCCAGGGCUGCUGGUCGGUUUUCUUCCUCGACCAAGCUUCGAAGUCUCAUUCGAGCCGAAGGUAUUUCUAUUUCAGCGGGCAAAACAGCUUCUUCACCAUAAACCAAAGCAUAUGGGGUCUCGCCUGUAGGCUUCCUUUUUGAAGUUCGAUAUGCCCAUAACGCUAUUGGUAAUUGUUCUGCCCAUGUCUUCGGAUGAUCGUCUAGGGUUUUUGAUAAAAUUUUUAUCAAGGUUUUGUUUGUAGCCUCUGCUUGUCCGUUGCCUUUCGGGUAGUAGGGUGAUGAUUUGUAAUGUUUCACCCUGUAUCUUUCCAUCAGAUUUUUGACGUCCCUAUUGAUGAAGGGAGUUCCAUUAUCCGACAAAAUUAUCUUCGGGAUCCCGAAACGGCAAAUGAUGUGCUCCUUGAUAAAAUUGGCCACUGCUGGUCCCGUGGCCUUCUUCAAGGGUAUUGCCUCCACCCACUUUGUGUACAUCUCGGUGGCAGUUAAAAUCCAUAUGUUACCCUUGGAAUUAGGAUGAACAGGACCUAUAAGAUCCAUUCCCCAUGUAUGAAAGGGCCAUGGUGUUGCCAAGGUUCGCAAAUCCACGGCGGGAGCAUGGAUCAAGUUUCCAUGUAUUUGACAAAUGUGGCACUUUUUAACAAAUUCUAGACAAUCUCCCUCCAUCUUUGGCCAGUAGUAACCAUGAUCGAUAAGUUGUUUGUACAACUUGGCUCCCCCUUGGUGUUCAUUCUUGUGCAUUUGGUAAACCAAAUCUUUGGCUUCACCUAGUUCCAGACACCGUAGGGGCUUGCCAUUGAAUCCCCUUCUAAACAAUUCUCCAUUCUGCAAGAAGAAACGUUGUGACUUCCUCUUGAUUAUAAUUGCGUCCUUCUUUUCGGUCGGAAGAGUCCCGCUUUGCAAGAACUCCACAUAAGGGAUUCGCCAAUCCACUAUAUCUUCAAUGAAGGCGCAUUCAUCCUCCCCAGGGUAUUCUUGGCAUGAAACACAUUGGCGUUGUAGGGCAUCUGCUUCCUUCUUCAUUUCAGGCCAAUAAUACCCUUGACGCUGCAGCCUACGAUACAAGCCUAUGUCUGCCAAUCCGCAGUUCUCGUCAUGCACCUGUUGCAAGACUCUAUCUGCUUCCUGCCUCCCUAAGCAUCGUGUCAACACACCGUCUGCUUCUUUGUGAUACAAGACACCUUUGAUGAUGUUGUACUUCUGUAACUUCACGGUAGGUAUUGUUCCCUCCUUUGUUUGCAAUUGAUGGGAGAUGUCGUAUCGCCAAUCAUCUAUCAUGUCUUUGGGGAACAAAUUUAGCACUGUGGUUGGGAGGGUUCUCUUCAUUACCUUUACAUCCAAAUCCUCACCUUGGACAUAGACUCGAGACGCUACUGUUGCUAGUGCAUCAGGUUGUUUAUUCUGUCCUCUUGGCACAUAUUCAAUCACCACCUUCUUGAAAGCCUCCAUCACCUUUUGUGCUACAGUUCGAUAUGGCGCCAAGAUAGGUUCCUUCACUCCGAAUUGGCCUCUUAUUUGUUGCACUAUGAGGUUUGAAUCUCCCUUUACUUUAAGAUGUUUGGCUCCUAAUUCUUGAGCCGCCAACAACCCUAGUAUGAACGCCUCAUAUUCUGCUUCAUUGUUUGUGCAAGGGAAAUCCAAUUUGUAUGACAAGGCCACUUCAUUUCCUUCUUUAGUGGUCAACACCACUCCUGCUCCACCUUUACCUUCUGCAGAUGAUCCAUCAAAAGCCAAACUCCACCAUUCUGGGUUCUCAUUCAUCAACUCGAUUGAUUCUACUUCUUCACCCGGAAGAUCUUCAGAAGGGGGUUCAUAUUCUCCAUUUGGAAAUUGAGCCAGCAGGUCUGCCAAGGCUUGACAUCGGAUCGCCUUCGGUGUUACACACUUGAUGUCGUACUCUGAAAGAAUCAUCAUCCAUCUGGCAGGUCUUCCUACUAAUGCUGGCUUAGUUAAUAGGUAUUUGAUUGGAUCAGUUUUUGUUGCAAGCUUUACUUCGUGUGCUAAAAAAUAAUGCCGCAUUUUUUGCGCAAUGAAUACCAAUGCUAGGCAAUGCCUCUCCACCUGUGAAUACCUGGUUUCCGGUCCUCGGAUUAUCCGGCUAAUGUAAUAUACAGGUUUCUCUUCUCCAUCCACCUCCUGCGUGAUCAAUCCACCUAUGGACUUCUUGGUAGAUGUGAUGUACAACUGCAACGGCAUUCCUCUUUGUGGCACUACCAUUGUUUGUGCUGAAGCCAAAAUUCUUUUCACCUUCUCAAACGCCUGUUGUUGGUCUUGCCCCCAGUCCCAUUGUGCCUUUCCUUUUAGCAAUUUGCCAAAAGGUUCUGUGACUUCGGCUAAUGCUGGCAUGAAUCUUCUCAUGUAUGAAACUUUCCCUAGAAAGCUCUUUAACUGUUUCUGCGUUUUUGGUGGGGGCAUCUCUGUGAUUGCUUUGGCCUUGCUUGGGUCCACCUCUAAGCCUCUAUUGUGCACCAAGAAGCCCAAGAAUUUUCCAGCCGUCAUCCCAAAGGCGCACUUCUUCGGAUUCAUCCUCAACUUAUACCUUCGGCACCGCUCGAACACUUUCCUCAGGUCCUCCACAUGAGUUAUCGCCUUCUUGGAUUUCACUACUAUGUCGUCUACAUAGUCCUCCACUAUAUCAUGAAUCAUGUCAUGAAAUAUGGCGUGCAUUGCCCUUUGAUAAGUUGCCCCCGCAUUCUUCAACCCGAAUGGCAUUACUACAUAGUAGAAAUUCCCAAACGGGGUACGAAAGGCUGUCAACUCUGCAUCUUCUACGGACAUCUUUAUCUGAUUGUAACCCACAAACCCGUCCAUGAAUGACAUCAUCUCAUGAUUAGCCGUUGCAUCUACCAAAGUGUCUAUGUUGGGUAAUGGGUACAUGUCCUUUGGGCAUGCCUUGUUCAAAUCUCUGAAAUCCACACAUAUUCGUAGCUGUCCAUUUGACUUCUUUACCGGUACAAUGCUGGAUAGCCAUAUUGGAUGUUGAAUUGGCUUGAUGAACCCUACUUCCAGCAACUUCUUGAUCUCUUCCUUUAUUUGAGUUUCUACUUCGGGUGCAUAGUUGCGAGGUGCUUGCUUUACUGGCUUCAUUCCCGGACUUAUGUUUAGAUUGUGCUCCACAAGAUCCUUGUCAAUUCCGGGCAUUUCGUCGUAAUUCCAAGCAAAUACAUCCCUAUAUUCUCGCAAUAAUUGUACAAGCUCCUCCUUCUGUUUAACAUCCAGCUCUUUGUUGACAUAAGUCGGUCUUGGCAUUCCUUCCUCUGUUGCCAAAUUAACUUCCUCUAAUUCAUUUUGUUGAGGUUUUGGCCUAUCCUCGAAACAUUCUGGAGCUGGUUCUACCUUCUGUUGUACAACUUCUUCUUCUUCAUUAUUGCUGGAGUGGGGGACACUUCCUGAGCCAUUGGGUUCACACACUUCCAAGGGCUCUUCCCCCUUGCGUCGUCACAAUCGAAACACCACCUUUCCGUCGGGGUUUAACAACCCUCUCCCAUUUUGUCUUCUGGCCCUCGUCAGAUUGUGCCAUCCGCUUGGCAUUUAUUAUAUUUCUGGCAUCUUCGGGUUCUGCUGGCCUUUUCUUUUCUUUUCUUCCUUCUUUCUCUAAGUCUACUACCACGGGCUUCUUAUUUUUGGAACAUUCUCCUUGUUCCGAGGUCUUCUUCUUCUCUUUUUCUACAGGCACAAACUUAUCUUCCUGCACUUCCUCCCAGCUUGCUAGUCUUAGAGAAUUAGGCCUUGCAAUCUGGUUCUCUCCCUCUUCAGCGACAUCAUCAAAGAAAGUUGCUUCGGUGAUGUGUGCCUCCUCUGGUCCAAAAGGAUUCCUAGUUGCUGAUACCUUUACUUCUCUCCCUUUCCAAAUAGCUUUAAGGCACUGAUGAAAGACCGAGGGUACUACCCCGUAGUCAUUUUGCCAAGCCCUUCCUAGCAAGACAUGAUAUGAUGCAUCCACCUCGGCAACAUGGAACAUUACAGGCCCUCGAAUCUUCCCAACUUGCAUGUCCACCUUAAUGUGUCCCAGGGUUCUUGUGCUUUGGUUGGCGAAUCCCGUAAUGUUCGUUUGUUCCUUCACAAUCUUCUUCUCCGGCAGGCCUAACCGUUUGAACACGGUGUAGGGCAUGAUAUUUACAGAUGCUCCAUUAUCAAUGAAUGCCCUCCGCACCUCGAUGCCAUUGAUUACUGCUGUCACAUACAGCGGCCUGUUGUGCGGGUAUCUUAUCUCUCUAUCAGCUUUAGAGAAAGAUAUCUUAUUUUCUUCUUCCUCCAUCGUCUUCACAAAUCCUUUACUCAUGGCCAUACAAGUCUCCUGCGUCUCAGCAGCUUUGAUAAUUGCCCUGGUUGCCUCAAUCCUUGCUUCCUUGGCCAAUCCUAUCUGAUCGAAAAAAUUUCUGAACUUGGCUCCGUUCAUCAAUGCCAUCACCUGCAGGCCUGGAUCACACUCCUCCUUUUCUUCCAUCAUCAUCUCCACUUCUGGGCUUGUGCUGUGAAUAACAGUGUUGCACGUUUCCUUCCCCUUGUGGUUUGGCAAUGGCUUGUCAUGAACGCUACUUUCCUUUCCAAGUUCAAUCUCCCCAUUUGCCAGCUUCUCGUGGAAUAUCCUCCGCAGGCUAUAACAGUCCAUAGUUGAGUGUCCCGCGUAUUGGUGGAAUACACAGAAGUCUGGUCUUCUCUUUAUUUCUUCCGUCACUGCAAAUCUAGGCCUUGGGGGUUUCACCACUCCAUGUUCAACCCAUUGUUCAUACAAAUCCUUGAAUGCUUUCUCACUACAUGUGAUGGCCUCGGGGACUGGUUUUCUUGUAUAUUUGUCUUCAGGCCGUCCUCUGUUUCGGUCAAAGUUCUUCUCAUGCUUCCCCCUCUUGCCCCCUUGUGGUUUUGAUUGAGAGUCAGCCAAAGCCACAGUUGCUGUCCUCUUGCCCUUCCAUGUAACCGUCGCAUGGUUAGUGGGCAAUGUCACAAUUCCUCCCAAGUCUUGUGCAAAAGAUGAGAGGGUCGCGAAGGAAUCACAAGCCUUGGUGAUGAGGUGGGGCUUGAAAGAAUCCAAGGCACCAUUGUUGCAAAUGCUGACUAAGUUCUUUUCUUCAAUCGGUUCUGCGCACUUCUGUGCCUGGGCCCUGAACCUGUCAACAUAAUCUGACAACUCCUCAUUCGGUUUCUGCUUGAACCGCAUAAGCUCCACAAUGGUUACCUGUUUCUGCACAUAGAAAAAUUUCUUGAAAAAUUGUAAUUUUAAGUCAUCCCAAUCAUGGACUGACCCCUUCUCCAAAUUGUAGUACCAACUAAAGGCACUAUCCGUCAAAGUCUUGUUGAAUUCCCGCAUCAACAAGUUGUGGUUGUUCACUUCGUCAUAUCCGAGCCACGGAGACAUUGACUCUACAAACCUGGCAAUAUGUUCCCUAGCAUUUCCUUUCUCCCCGUUGUAUUUUGGAAAUUGCGGGGGGUGCUCAAUAUACCCUGUUGGGUAAGGUUGCCUCCGAAUGUGUGCAGGGUAAGGAGGAGUAAAGUCCAACUCCGAGGGUCGAGAUGUCUGUCUGCGAAGUUGAUUGAUCACGUCAAUCAUAUCAUCCUUCGUCACAUACGGGCUUGUAGCGUGAACUCUCUGGGGUGUUGUGAUAUACUGCUGCAUCGGCGGUGUGUAUGGUAGAGAAAUUGGUUGAUGAACACUUGCAUCAUGAACAGCUGGCACUGGUGGAAGUUGCUGGCUCAUUCGCUGGACAUUGCUUGGAAUGAUUGGCAUUUGCACCUGUGAAAAUGAUGGAAUAGUAGCUGAGAUGAUGUUUGCCUGAGGUUGGCUUGCUUCCAUCCUAGGUUGUGGCACGUCACCACUGUUCUGGGCUUCCAAGUUGAUUAUUGGAACCGAUUGACUUUCCGUUAAUGGAGGUACAAUCUGGUUCUCUUUGUUGUUGCUACCAUUAUUGUUGUCUUCCACACCUGCUUGUUCCCCAUGCGAACUUCCUGGGAACAUGGCCUUGAAAGUGGGAAUUUGCAUCAACUGCUGGCGGAAAUUCCCCAUCUCCUCUUGCUUUCUCUGCAUUUCCAGCAUCACGGCCAUCAUCAUUCCUUGCCCUUCUCGUGCUUCCUUCAAUGCCUUGAGCAUCUCCAGUUGCACAGCAUUCGUCGGGUCUCCACCUACAUCCUCGCCUUGCCUUCCUGCAUUGGUUUGUUGUUGAUUAGCCAUAUGUGGUGAUGUCGAACUUCCUUCUGAAGUGUCUUCAAUAAGUGGUUGGUCAAAAUCCAGGUUUGCGCCUUGGAAAGCUUGAGUGGCUUGCCUUGGAACUGGAUCCGGUGAGGUAAUGCUGUUUGUUGGUGAAAUAGCUUUUCCUGUAGUUCUCCUACUUCGAGUCGUGGGCAUACCCUUCACGAAUUCUACACCUCCCCAGCAGAGUCGCCAAAUAAAUGUGGGCACUAAGAUCGUACCUUGCUAGGGUUAGGGUUUCGUAUUGGCUGAGGAGGAGAGAAAUCCACAAAGAGUACGUAAUUGAUUGGUUGAUUGAAGAGGGGAGAACGACAGGUGGGCGAUUACUCCAACGACGCGUGGCAGAACUCCUAGAAUCCGGGAACCGUGUUAGGGUAAUAGUGAUUCCAAGAGCCUUCUUAAGUUCUUCGAGUUGAGAGAAUGUCCAAACCCCUUUAGUGCUUUUAGGUGGAAUCUCCAAGCCUUUAAGUCACCAAAAGGGUCCCUUUGAUCCUCUAAGUGUCCAAGUCUUGAGUCUGAAGAGGAGUCCCUUUCCAAAUGGAAUAGAAGGGGUAUUUAUAGGGUUUUCUGGAAAGUAGUCAUGUGCAAGGCACAUGCCUUCAGAAAAAUUUCAGAAAUACCCUUUAGUCCUUAGAGUAAUGCCCAUAUUGCCCUGUCCUUCUAGCCACCAAUCCGAUCCCUCAAUCAAUUUCCAAAACGAGCCGCCUCCACGAGUCUUCUGCCUCGGGACACGUGGAGGCUUUUCGCAGGUCUCGCCCAUUUACUUCUGACUUUUCCGUCUUUAUUUCAUUAGGUUAUGCAAACCCUAAUUUGCACAUUUAAUGAAGCCGUGGAAACCUAAUUGCGCAUUCAAUUCAAUUAGGUCAUGUGAACCCUAAUUUUACACUUGGGCCCACAUUUGCCCCCUGCACGAGAGUCGCAUUAACGAUCGUGCAAGAAAACUGCAAGUCUUUGAACGAUUUUGUGGGACUUCACUCUACAGGUCUUAAAGACAAUGGUCCUAGAAGAGGGAACUCCUAGAGAGCCAUACCCUUAGAGUUAAACCCUAGGAAGGCAAGACCUAGUGAGGCUCUUCUUUGGACAUCUUAAAAAAAAUCUUCUGAAAUUUUUUCUGAACCUUGCCCAAUAUUUAUUUCCUUUGUAGACCUAAUAUACUUCAAGGAUGAGUUUAGCUGAAGCUCCAGAUGCUCAAGGUUUUUUAUAUUUAGCGGCCCCAGGUCUUCCCCGAGAAGGUGCCUUUGAUAUUGUUGUAGAGACUCAUAUUUGCCUUUUAGUUUUAAGUAUUCCCUGUAUGUGCUUUGCUGCUAGGGACAUGACAACAAGUAAUUCAAGUAAAAAAAAUCAUGAAAACAAAAUGAACAUAAUCCCAGGAAUAAAAUAUUCCUAAUAAAAAAUUAGGAUAUUUGUUUUAAU